GCGAUAAGCCCAGAUUAGGUAGUAACAACCAUUUGAGUCUGGGAUUUCYGAAUGGGGAAACCCACKURCAUAAGYAMGUAUCCUUACCUGAAUACAUAGGGUAAGGAGGCGAACCGGGGGAACUGAAACAUCUAAGUACCCCGAGGAAAAGAAAUCAACCGAGAUUCCGAAAGUAGCGGCGAGCGAAAUUGGACUAGCCCUUAAGCUUUACACGCGUUAGACGAACGGUCUGGAAAGUCCGACGAUACAGGGUGAUAGUCCCGUAGUUGACGACGUGUGUUCAGUGAAAUCGAGUAGGGCGGGACACGUGAUAUCCUGUCUGAAUAUGGGGGGACCAUCCUCCAAGGCUAAAUACUACUGACUGACCGAUA
rnacentral:rRNA from 1 species